rnacentral:lncRNA from 1 species
AAACCACUUUUUGAACUUUAUCCAAUGAGUUAGGGAUACAAUGGCCUUUAGGGAGAACCCUUGAGAACAAUUUAAGUAUGGCCUCCAAACAUGCGUUACUAAUACCAUACAUGUACUUUAUCUGAAAAAGUUGCACGAUAAAAGAAACCUUAGAUUGGACGGUUAUCCUUGAUCCUCCAGGGGCCAGGGGGUCUGGUUUUAUAGUCCCUUCAAGUGAAUACGGUCCGUUGGAUCAAACCGACAUAGAUUGAAUGGUUAUCCUUGAUCCUUUAGGUCGGUGGAGAUCUUUCCCGAAAGAGUGUCCUGAUUGGACUCCAACAGGGGGCAGGCGCCCAGGGCAACAGGGCAGGCGCUCAGUGCCUGGCCCCAUUCGGCCUCCGCUCCCUUCCUGUGGCUUCUGGAGUCUUCUAGAUGUAAGAUAAUUGCACGGCACGUUAAUAUCUCUAUGUAAUCUCGACGUGUGGGCCUUUCUUCCGUAUUUCCUAAUAACCCCCUGCAGAAAUAGACAAACACAAAAACUCGUGGAAUUCUGUUAGAUAAAACCCUAAGUCUAGAUGUUGAUUUCAUUUGGAUCCUUUUCUUUGUUUAUUUGAUAAUUAAAUUUGAUACUUAAGGACCGUCAACAAACUCCCCCAAGCUUACCUCUUGCUCGUCCCUGAGCAAGGAUAGGCUUAGCUAUGGAUCAUAAGUUGUUGCAAUAUCUUUAAAAAUUAACGGUACAUAUGCUUUUAAAUAAGAUCUCAUCUCUGAGUUAGAGUAAACUGUCAAGACUUAAAACUUACUUACUUUACCUUUCAGCAUGGGACUUGUAAUCAUCACUUCUGUCUUGAGUGGUUAAAAGAUAGAACAGUCUAGUCAAGUGCCAUGUCUCUUAUUCUUGAUCAGCUAUAGCUCUGGAGUUUUUGCAGAUUUUUAAAUAAAACUCAGAGAUUCCUUGUAUGACUCUAUCAGAUCUCUCAUUUGUGGUAUUUCUGGAUCCUUACCAAGGCAGUGAUUGUAUAUGCCUUCUCUCAAUAUAUAUGGUAUUUGUGGUAUAAGGCAUAGUGACAUUGCCUUCUCUCUCACCCUACUCUAAUAAGGCUUUAAUAUCUGGAGCUCAUAGGUGGGAGAUAAAGUAUACAUACUUACAAGAUAUUUAUUGUAUAGUCAAACCAUAGAUCCAAAGAAAAAAAUCAAUAAGUCAAAUCAAGAUGUGCAUGUGUGGUAAAUGAAUGGUAUAUGGUGAUGAUGGUGAUAACAAUGGUGAAAGUCUAAUUCUACUUUGCUCUUCGAGGGGAUACAUACCUUCCUUGCUUUCUGAAAGUUUUGAAGAGAAUGAGAUGCUCUAUAUUUUCUUUUUCUUUCCUCUCAGGUGAGUAUCUUGUACCCCUAAUUCUACUGUCAGACACUUGUCCAUUUUUACCUCUCGUCUCACUCUUUUUCUUUUCUUUCGAGGUUCUGGGCACUUGCCCCUUUUUAUUUCCUCGUAUUCUUUUUUCUUUCUUCUGUUUUUUUCUUUUUUAGAGCACUCAUCUCUUGAGAUAAUAUAGCAAGUGGUAGUAACAAGAUAACUUGAGCAUUUAUUUCACAAGGGAAAAACAGAAAUGUUUUUGGCUAUUCUCUCCUGGAUUAGGAGUAGAAUAUUUUUGGGUGGUUCUGGAGAUGGAAAUGAGUGGAUAUAUGUGGAUGAUACUUCCAGAGUAGAAGUAGCAUAUGUGAGUGAACGUGCAAGUGAAUCUUGAUUUAACCAUAUGACAAGCUCUUAAGGGUCUACACAGCUUGACCACACUCAAUGCUCAUAAGCAGUAAAUAGUAAAUGUGUGGCUCAAAGUCUAGCAAUCAUGUAUAUAUGGCUGUGGUAGGAAUUUAAACUCUCAUCAUAUAGAAACUCAUUAUGCAAUAUUUUAAAGAUUUUCAAAGAUAAAAUUCUCCAGAAUUCUAGCAUCUCUAGGAACAGAUAAACAGCAGCUCAACCUUCACAUAUCAUAUUCGUUAACAACUUAGACUUCAGAUCAAGUUUACUUCCCACAAGUUUAGGUUUAGGGAAAGCUUUAAAUUAUAACAGUUAUGUCUAAACUUGAGAGAAAACUUAAAAUUCGUAAAUUAGGCAGAGCAACUAUUCAUCAUAUUCAUGCUAGAGUUUUAUUUAGAUAUAGAUUAGCAUAGCCACUUUAUUUAUUUAUUAAACACACUAAGCAAAAGAUAUAUAUAUAUAAGCACAAGAUCUUUAUUUGUUUUUCCAUAAUUAUGUAUAUCUAUAUUUUAAUAUAGUAUAAGUAUAAAGAUAGAUAGAAAUACUUAGCGGGUUGAAUGGGGGUGCUCUCCACCAAGCUAAAUUUUGACGUAAUUUUUUUCUUGAUGUAGCUAGCAGGUGGCAGAGGUGUAUUUGAAAGUCGGCAGCACCCUGACAGCGAUUAGAAUGUCCUCCGUCUGCUAGUCUUCUUUGAUCCUUAAAUUUUGUGGAGCUCAAAUAGACAACAAAGCUUGUGGAACUGAUUAAGUGUUAGCAUAAAUAUCUAGCCUUUAUCAUGUUGAGACUCCUUAGUAAAUAUUACUCCUAUUUUUAUAUUUUCAUUUUUAUAGAGCAGAAAAAUAUUUAUUUUAUUUUUACGCCACCACAGUGAAUGUACUUAUGGGUUUUAUGCCACUAGUCUACUCACAUGGGGCUUACUGUUUUUCAACAUUUUUAUUUUCUUUUUAGGAUAGUAUAAAUAUAACUAAUUAAGUAAACUAUUUUAAAUAAUUGAACGGAAAAAGAUAACUACCAAGUUUACCUCUUGGCAAGGCGUUCGGUGUUUUUAAGUCCUCCGAACGGGACUCUUCUCUUUCUCAAUUGUCCUAGGAUUCGUUGGGUGGCGGAGUCGGUACUUCCGGCAAUGCCUCUUCUUUAUGUAUAGUUAUCUUCUCUUUCCAUACCUAACUCGGUGCUACGGAAUAGUCUGGAUCAUUUUGUUUAAACUAUACGUCUUCUGACCUUACAACUUCUCCUUCAUAGUCUGCCCAUCCAUCCUUGAUGAUUUGCCUCCUCUGGUUGCAGUUGCGUCGUUUUCUUACCUGCAUAGAUUCUUCAAAGAUGUAGUUAGGGUCAGUAAAAUAACGGCGUACCUUCUCUGAGGGGAAGUGCAUAUGGACUUCUCCAGUUCCAAUGUAGAUUUUUGCUUUAACGGUGCUGAGAAACGGUCUUCCAAGGAUGAUGGGUGUCGACGAAAGCUGGUCAGCAGUCUACCUUGGGGUAUACCCACGGUAGUAGUUUAUCGGUAGACGGUGCGCAAACUACGAACUCGAUGGUGACGCAAGACACAGGCGAGCUUUUUAUCCAGGUUCGGCCGCCGAGUUGGCGUAAUACCUACGUCCUGCGUCUGAUUGCAUUGGUUUGGAUUGAGAGAAUAAUGUGUGUAUGACUUGUCCUCUAGGGGAUCCCUGCCCCUCUUUAUAUAUCCUGAAGGGACAGAGUUACAAGCAAAGUAUCCUAUUUGGUACAAAAUCUUGUAGCCUUGCGGUGCACGCCGACCAGUCGUGCGCCGCACGUCUUCAUCUUGUGGGCCGAGCCACCUCUGAUGGUGCGGCCCAUAUAGGCCCAUGAGGGUAUAAGGGUUUAUACCCCCACAGCUAGUCCCCGAGCACCAUGUAUUAUGAUGUAACACGCUGUCUUGAGCUUCUUCGAUCAGUGAGGCUUGACGUCUUCAAUAAGCAGGAAUGUCGCCCAAACGGUUGCAACGGUAUUUUGACCAACUCAAAAGACAGUUGAUCAACAUUGACCUCAAAGAAGCAGGUUGUUCGAAGAAUGCAUGGUGCUCCAAAUUAAAAAAGAUUUCUUUCCUGGUGAAGUGUGCCCACUUUACUUUUUCUGAAAAGUAUAGACCUCAAAAAAGCAAGCAUAUUCACCGCAAGGUGAAGUGUGCCCACUUAGUCCCCGAGCCUGGUAGUAGGUGACGUAGGCACAUGAUGCCAGGGUCAAAAGAAAAGUCCUCAAAGAAAUUCUGAAACUGAGAUGCAUCGCCAGAUGCAUCGUACCGAUGUAGUCCCCGAGCUUGCUGGAAGACGAAGUAUGAGCCUUGUAGCAAGGUCUAAAAAAUUGAAUUUACCAGUCCGUCUGCAAUUGAAUAGACUAAUCGACCAGUCCCCGAGCAUAUAACGCUCGGUGGUCGGUACAGUCCCUGAAUUCUCAAAUUGGUGGGCUGGUCGACCAGUCCUCGAGCGUAUAGUGCUCGGUGGUCGGUACAGUCCCAAAAUUCUCAAAUUGGUGGGCUGGUCGACCAGUCCCCGAGCGUAUAGUGCUUGGUGGUCGGUACAGUCCCAAAACUCUCAAAUUGGUGAGCUGGUCGAACAGUCCCCGAGCGUAUAGUGCUCGGUGGUCGGCACAGUCUUCGAGCACAGCAUAGAGAGUAGUCGACAAGUCCCCGAGCGUGGUUGGGAACGUAAACGUGCUCGGUGGUCGGAGCAGUCCCCGGGCAUAGCAUAGGGAAUAGUCGACGAGUCUCCAAGCGUAGCUUGUCGACUGGGCCAAACUCCUGAAAAAUAAAUAUAAAGAAUUGGUAGUACAUGAUGUAUAAAUAACCUUUAGAUAAAAAAUCAGUACUAAGAUAAGUUUUAGAUUUGUUCUUAUAAAAUUAGCACGAGUAGUUAAUUCAUCCUAGAGCUUUAACCAGCUCUGGUCUAGCCAACAAUCAGCAUGAGGUGCGGAACCUAGGCACGCGUAGGAUUGUCAGCCACGUCAGAGAGCUACUGCCGACCACCCGGAACGCAGAGGGCGGAUCUCGUGCACGUGUAGGGAGGCGUCGGAGACAGUACCGGCUCUGGAAAGCUCGUGUAGGAGAAAAAACUAGUCGGCUAAAAAAGUUGUUUUGAAGAAUAAUAAUCUUAAAAAUAUUAUGCCAAAAAUAAAUAAAAUAUUAGAAUUGUACUUAUCUUUGGACGAAAGUCUGGUUGGGAGAGUUGCUUGACUUGUUGUCGUGAUGGUGGUCGCGGCUGUCGUAGCGCCAUUCUUCACGGCGAUUAUUAUUGCGACUCGUGGUGAGAGCAAGUAGGCCAAACAACUUGGUCGAUAGCCUGAGCAGGUCGGUGUCGUUGAUCUGCCUCCCUUUGUAGCAAAGAAGCGGGUGACGCGUUGUCGGCGUGGUCGGAGACGUUGCUGGAGUAGUUGGAGUCGUAGCCAGCGUGGUUGAAGCCGCCGCCGACGUCGAUGAAGAAGUGGUUGGUGCAGAUCGGAUCCACACCUCCUCUGUGGUCGUGGCGGUGUAGCUGUUGAAGCUGACGGUGAACGUGAAGUCGCCUGCCAUGGCCACGAAGUCAGGGAUGAUGACCAUCUCGUUCGUCGGGAGAGCUGUACGCGUACCCCCUACCUGGCGCGCCACUGUCGACGAAAGCUGGUCGGCAGUAUACCUUGGGGUAUACCCACGGUAGUAGUUUAUCGGUAGACGGUGCGCAAACUACGAACUCGAUGGUGACGCAAGACACAGGCGAGCUUUUUAUCCAGGUUCGGGCGCCGAGUUGGCGUAAUACCUACGUCCUGCGUCUGAUUGUAUUGGUUUGGAUUGAGAGAAUAAUGUGUGUAUGACUUGUCCUCUAGGAGACCCCUGCCCCUCCUUAUAUAUCCUGAAGGGACAGAGUUACAAGCAAAGUAUCCUAUUUGGUACAAAAUCUUGUAGCCUUGCGGUGCACGCCGACCAGCCGUGCGCCGCACGUCUUCAUCUUGUGGGCCAAGCCACCUCUGAUGGUGCGGCCCAUAUAGGCCCAUGAGGGUAUAAGGGUUU